GAAGCAGACCUCUGGGACUGCCUUUUUUCAUUUACGUAAUAUUAGAAAAAUUAGACACAUACUAUCACAGACAGAUGCAGAAAAACUAAUCCAUGCAUUUGUUACUUCAAGGCUGGAUUACUGCAACUCUUUAUUAUCAGGUUGCCCCAAUAAGUCCAUUAAAACGCUCCAAUUAAUUCAGAACGCUGCAGCACGAGUACUGACAGGAACUAGAAAAAGAGAUCACAUCUCUCCUGUACUAGCUUCUCUGCACUGGCUCCCUGUAAAAUGUAGAAUAGAAUUUAAAAUCCUCCUCCUCACCUAUAAAGCUCUUCAUGGUCAGGCCCCUUCAUAUCUUAAAGAGCUCAUAGUACCCUAUUACCCCUCUAGAACACUACGUUCUCUGAAUGCUGGGCUACUUGUGGUUCCUAUAGUCUCAAAAAGGAGAACAGGAGCCAGAGCAUUCAGUUACCAAGCUCCUCUCCUGUGGAACCAGCUUCCAGUUGUGGUUCGGGAAGCAGACACCCUCACCGCAUUUAAGAGUAGGCUUAAGACGUUCCUCUUUGAUAAAGCUUAUAGUUAGGGCUGGAUCAGGUGAGUCCUGAACCAUCCCUUAGUUAUGCUGCUAUAGGCCUAGACUAUCGGGGGAUUUCCCAUGGUGCACUGAGCUCCUCUCUUCCUCUCUCUUUCUGCACUCAUUCAUGUUCCAUUAAUGCAUGUUACUAACUUCACUUCUUCCCCGGAGUUCUUGUGCUUUCUCGUCUCGCAGGUUCUUGUCGAUCCUGGUGGUGCCUCCUGCCAUGGUCCUGCUAGAUUGCCGUUGCCAAUACUGUUGUUGCUAUGCACCUGUCUGUCUGUCUGUCUCUCUCUCUCUCUGCCUGUCUCUCUCUCUGCCUGUCUCUCUCUCUGCCUCUCUCUCUCUCUCUCUCUCUCUCUCUCUCUCUCUCUCUCUCUCUCUCUCUCUCUCUCUCUCUCUCACCCUCUCUCUCUCUCUCUCUCUCUCUCUCUCUCUCACCCCAACUGGUCGAGACAGACGACCACCCACCUAGAGCCGGAGGAUCUGUCCUAGGUUUCUGCCUUUUAACAGGCAGUUUUUCCUUGCCCUUGUCGCCAAGUGCUUGCUCAUGGUGGUACUGUUGGGUCUCUGUAAUUAAUGUUAAAGAGUUCGGUCUAGACCUGCUCUAUUUGAAAAGUGUCCUGAGAUAACUUCUGUUAUGAAUUGGCGCUAUACAAAUAAAAUUGAAUUGAAUUGAAUUGAA